GCGGACGUAGCUCAGUUGGUAGAGCGCAACCUUCCCAAGGUUGAUGUCGCGAGUUCGAGUCUCGUCGUCCGCU
rnacentral:tRNA from 1 species